rnacentral:lncRNA from 1 species
GAAUUUGAUUUUUAGUCUCAUAUGACAACUGCCCUGAUAUUUAUGGGUCUAUAUCUGGAGUGUAGGUUAGUUGCUAUUAUGUUGACCUACUCAUUUUUUUUCUCAAAAUUAAUUCACACUUAUAAAUCAAAGUGGCUCCUACUAUAAAUGCUGGCAAAACAAAAAAACAAAAAAAAAAUCCCCUUCUUAUUUUAUUUUUUUUAGGAAAUAUGAGCUGUUUUUUUCUUUAUCUUAGAGUGUUUAAAAAUAUUAGUUGCAGAACUUAAGACACACACGCACACACACACACACACACACACACCCUAAUUUGUGGUCCUACCACCACACACUGCCUCCUUUCUGACAUAGGUGGAAUUCUCUAGAUGUGACUUUUUUGUCUUCUUUCUUCUUCCUUUUCUUACAUGGGGAGGUAGGGGUAUCUUGAACUUUCUACAUAGCUGAGACUGGCCUUGAACUCACUACAGAGUCCAGGAUGGCCUUGAACUCAUUAUAGAGCUCAGCAUGACCUCGAGCCCAGUGCAACCUUAAUCUCACAGUGACUUCCCCUUCUUCCAGGAUGACAUAGCUCUUAUCUACAAGCCCAUCUUUUACCCUGAAAUCUUCCCUCCCCACAGCUGCAUCACCAGUCUCUAAGCUUCCACUGAAAAUAGAAGGCAGAAUCCUUAAGCCAGAGAGUAUCGGCAGGAGUUUGCUAUCUACUGAGAACCUAGGACUAGGGAUAUGAGCUAUGUCUCCUAACACAGUCCAUUUUUGAGAGCUAUUCUCUCAUUCCAUUCUUACCCUAUGUCUUCCAGCUGGAAAACUACAUAGUCUAAGUAAUCCUCUAUAGUAUGUUCACAGGAAAUAAUAGUUUUGUCUUAAUUAUGGUCCAUUUUAAAAACUGAAAAAAAAAAUUGGUCUCCCACGUAGACAGCAUCCACAGAAUGUAACAUUAGAAAUCUGGCUAUUGUCCUUGGACUUGCAGAGUUUUACAGUAUAAAACCAACCUCUUAGAUCACAGUCUGUCCUUACCAGGGGAACAGUGCUGCACAAACAAGACGAGAACCAGUUAAAAGGUAAUUUCCUGAAAUGGUCUCAUGUGGAACAAAUUGAAAAUCCACAGUCCUUCAACAGAGAAAUCUUUUUCAUUACUUGAUC